GCAGUGAGUUACAGAAGAAUCAGGAGGAAUGGAGGCAGUAGAGCCUGUAUCUUUGGAGAGAAUGAUCAUUCCUGGGGUCUGAUUUACACUGAUGAUGAAAGGUACUUUAUCAGGCUCCAUCUGUACAUGGAGAAACUUUAUGAUGGAUUUUUACCUUGAUGAAGAAAACAUGGAUCAACCCAGGAAAGGUCUUUCCAUGUGAUCCGACCCUCUGUCUCUCUCUGACUCCUGGCAAAUUUAUUACAUUCAGAAAAUCACUCAGCCAGUUUUAGGGAAGGAUAAUUAUUUGUUCAACUUAUCUACUUUUGUCUAUUUGCUUGAUUUUAUUUUAUUUUAUGUUGCUGUUUGCAGUAGCUGCUAAACUCUGCAGAUUAACAUCAACAUCUUGCUGGAAGUUGUGGAAAUGUAAUUUUUGAGAUUGUUCCCUGUAAGAUUUCUUCAUGGUUUUAAAUUGAUUGAUGUUCUCAACAAAAUUACCAGAAGUUUUGAUCAAUAAAGUUAAAAACCCAAA